CUCACAGGAAGUUGACGGGGACCCGCACAAGCGGUGGAGCAUGUGGUUUAAUUCGACGAUACGCGAAGAACCUUACCUGGCCUUGACAUACUAAAAAGCUUUAAGAGAUUAGAGUGUGCUAGCUUGCUAGAAUUUAGAUACAGGUGCUGCACGGCUGUCGUCAGCUCGUGUCGUGAGAUGUUGGGUUAAGUCCCGCAACGAGCGCAACCUCGUGUUUAGUUGCUAACAGUUCGGCUGAGAACUCUAAACAGACUGCCUACGCAAGUAGGAGGAAGGGUGAGGACGACGUCAAGUCAUCAUGGCCCUUACGGCCAGGGCUACACACGUGCUACAAUGGGGUAUACAAAGAGCAGCGAUACGGUGACGUGGAGCAAAUCUAGAAAAUGCCUCUCAGUUCGGAUUGUAGUCUGCAACUCGACUACAUGAAGUUGGAAUCGCUAGUAAUCGUAGAUCAGCAAUGCUACGGUGAAUACGUUCCCGGGUCUU
rnacentral:rRNA from 1 species